UACGUAGGGUGCGAGCGUUGUCCGGAAUUACUGGGCGUAAAGAGCUCGUAGGUGGUUUGUCGCGUUGUUCGUGAAAACUCAACAGCUCAACUGUGGGCGUGCGGGCGAUACGGGGCAGACUGGAGUACUGCAGGGGAGACUGGAAUUCCUGGUGUAGCGGUGGAAUGCGCAGAUAUCAGGAGGAACAGUACAGCUACGUACGUCUGAGCAUCGAUCGAUGUACAGCUACGGUACGUCUGAGCAUCGAUCGAUGUACAGCUACGUACGUCUGAGCAUCGAUCGAUGUACAGCUACGUACGUCGAGCAUCGAUCGAUGUACAGCUACGUACGUCUGAGCAUCGACGAUGUACAGCUACGUACGUCUGAGCAUCGAUCGAUGUACGCACGUACGCUGAGCAUCGACGAUGUACAAGCUACGUACGUCGAGGCAUCGAUCGAGACGCUACGACGUCUGACAUCGAUCGG
rnacentral:rRNA from 1 species